AGCUUUUCGUAAUAAUCAGCGUACACCUUCUCCAGUUCGUAAAAGCUGUUAACGAUAACCCCCAAGCUUGCGUCCUCCGAUUCCUUGAUUGCCUGCAACAGUUGUGCGUAUUUGGCUUCCCCAUCAUUUUCGGGUAACAUCAUCCUUGUCAUUUGGAUGUUUCCAGGAAGAUGAGGAAUAACAAAAAGAUCAGAGUCAGAAGAAAGAUUGGUCUGAGGCUGGUAAAGUCGCAGACAUUCUGAGGCACACAUGGCAAAGACACCGGUACCAUGAAAGAGAAGCCUUGGGAUAUUGAAUUUAGCGGCAGAUUGAGAUGCCCAGGGGAAGAAAGCACUGGCAAUAAGGCAGUGUGGAUGGUGUUGAAGAAGGAGGUGUUCGAGUUGGGGUUGUAGCUUGGUGGUUGCCAUGAAGAAAGCGGGUAUGAGAUUAGGGGAGGGGAUUGACUCUGUAUUUUCGCAUCCCUCAGGUAAGCCAGCCUCUGCACAAGGGAAUUUGAUGCUGACGAUUUCUAUCUCC
rnacentral:sRNA from 1 species